CCUACGGGAGGCAGCAGUGGGGAAUUUUGGACAAUGGGCGAAAGCCUGAUCCAGCCAUGCCGCGUGAGUGAAGAAGGCCUUCGGGUUGUAAAGCUCUUUCGGCUGGGAAGAAAUCGCACAGGCUAAUACUCUGUGUGGAUGACGGUACCAGCACAAGAAGCACCGGCUAACUACGUGCCAGCAGCCGCGGUAAUACGUAGGGUGCGAGCGUUAAUCGGAAUUACUGGGCGUAAAGCGUGCGCAGGCGGUUGUGCAAGACAGAUGUGAAAUCCCCGGGCUCAACCUGGGAACUGCAUUUGUGACUGCACGACUAGAGUACGGCAGAGGGGGGUAGAAUUCCACGUGUAGCAGUGAAAUGCGUAGAGAUGUGGAGGAAUACCGAUGGCGAAGGCAGCCCCCUGGGCCGAUACUGACGCUCAUGCACGAAAGCGUGGGGAGCAAACAGGAUUAGAUACCCUGGUAGUCCACGCCCUAAACGAUGUCAACUAGUUGUUGGUAGGGUUAAACCUAUUAGUAACGUAGCUAACGCGUGAAGUUGACCGCCUGGGGAGUACGGUCGCAAGAUUAAAACUCAAAGGAAUUGACGG
rnacentral:rRNA from 1 species